UUGCAGGAGAUCCCUCCAGCAUUAACUUUCCAACACAAUCAUCAAGUUCACUUGAUCAGCAGAGCACAUUUUCUGCAGCUCCCACUGGUGCUGGAGAUCAGCUUGAAAUCAUCCUCCAUACAAAUUUCACAGACUCAAGGGAUCCAAAUGUGACAAGUUUACAAACAGACUUCCCAGGUACUGUUGAAGAGUUUACUCCUGGACCAGAAUUAAAAG